UGCCAGCCGCCGCGGUAAUACGGAGGGUGCAAGCGUUGCUCGGAAUAAUUGGGCGUAAAGGGUGCGUAGGUGGUUUUUUAAGUGCAUUGUUAAAGCUUCGGGCUCAACCUGAAAUAUGCAUUGCAUACUGAAAAACUCGAGUAUGGGAGAGGAAACAGGAAUUUCUCAAGUAGAGGUGAAAUUCGUAGAUAUGAGAAGGAACACCAAAGGCGAAGGCAAGUUUCUGGAACAUUACUGACACUAAGGCACGAAAGCGUGGGGAUCAAACAGGAUUAGAUA
rnacentral:rRNA from 1 species